rnacentral:rRNA from 1 species
AGAAUUUGAUCUUGGUUCAGGAUGAACGCUGGCGGCGUGCUUAACACAUGCAAGUCGAACGAAGCAUUCCAACUCUCGGAGGAAGAAAUGACUGAGUGGCGGACGGGUGAGUAACGCGUGGGUAACCUGCCUUAUACAGGGGGAUAACAGUUAGAAAUGACUGCUAAUACCGCAUAACCCGCUAGUACCGCAUGGUACAGACGGAAAAAGAUUUUAUCGGUAUAAGGUGGACCCGCGUCUGAUUAGCUAGUUGGUGAGGUAAUGGCUCACCAAGGCGACGAUCAGUAGCCGGCUUGAGAGAGUGAACGGCCACAUUGGGACUGAGACACGGCCCAAACUCCUACGGGAGGCAGCAGUGGGGAAUAUUGCACAAUGGGGGAAACCCUGAUGCAGCAACGCCGCGUGAAGGAAGAAGUAUUUCGGUAUGUAAACUUCUAUCAGCAGGAAAGAAAAUGACGGUACCUGACUAAGAAGCCCCGGCUAACUACGUGCCAGCCGCUGC